rnacentral:rRNA from 1 species
ACACGACUACAUUAGAUACCCGUGUAGUCCAGGGUGUAAACGCUGCAGACUUGGUGUUGGAAAUCCUUCGAGGGUAUUCAGUGCCGGAGAGAAGUUGUUAAGUCUGCUACUUGGGGAGUACGUCCGCAAGGAUGAAACUUAAAGGAAUUGGCGGGGAGCACCACAACGGGUGGAGCCUGCGGUUUAAUUGGACUCAACGCCGGAAAUCUCACCGGAUAGGACAGACAUAUGAUAGUCGGGCUGAAGACUCUACUUGAUGAUCUG